UUCCAAUCAAUAUUUUAUUUACUGCAUGCGUUCAUAUUAUGACAACAUGCUCUUCAAAACAAAACAAAAAGACAAAAACAGCAAAGACUUAAAAAUAACUGGCAUGAUCAUGUAUUAAAAACAAAGUAAGAGGUUCGACUAAAAAGCACACAGAUUUAUAGGGAGAACUUUUAAAGCAGAACAGGAAUCAUGUAGAGGUGAAUGAGGGAGGGGGUGAAUAUGCUUUACAAAGUGAUUCAAUGUUAAAGUAUUUUAGUGUUCUGAAGGGCUUUAAGCCAAUUAGAGUAAGAAGAUAAACCUAUUUCAAAAUGAUUUGAUUUGUUUCAUUGUAAAGUUUUAAUUAGAAAGUCGUGUGUGUGUGUGUGUGUGUGUGUGUGUAUUGAGGUGUGUGUAUUGAGGUGUGUGUGUGUGUGUGUGUAUUGAGGUGUGUGUGUGUGUGUAUUGAGGUGUGUGUGUGUGUGUAUUGAGGUGUGUGUGUGUGUGUGUGUGUGUAUUGAGGUGUGUGUGUGUGUAUUGAGGUGUGUGUGUGUGUGUGUAUUGAGGUGUGUGUGUGUAUUGAGGUGUGUGUGUGUGUGUAUUGAGGUGUGUGUGUGUGUAUUGAGGUGUGUGUGUGUGUAUUGAGGUGUGUGUGUGUGUAUUGAGGUGUGUGUGUGUGCGUGCACACGCCCAUGUGUUUUCUUUCUCAGCGACACAGGUAAAAGGAGAAUAGUGAUUUUGAUUGGCAUAUAAUUUCAUAAAACAACAUUUACAUAUUAAUGAUACAACAGUAAUAAGGAGUAAACAUUAUAG